GACGAACGCUGGCGGCGUGCUUAACACAUGCAAGUCGAACGGAAAGGCCCUGCUUUUGUGGGGUGCUCGAGUGGCGAACGGGUGAGUAACGCGUGAGUAACCUUCCCUUGACUUUGGGAUAACUUCAGGAAACUGGGGCUAAUACCGGAUAGGAGCUCCUGCUGCAUGGUGGGGGUUGGAAAGUUUCGGCGGUUGGGGAUGGACUCGCGGCUUAUCAGCUUGUUGGUGGGGUAGUGGCUUACCAAGGCUUUGACGGGUAGCCGGCCUGAGAGGGUGACCGGCCACAUUGGGACUGAGAUACGGCCCAGACUCCUACGGGAGGCAGCAGUGGGGAAUAUUGCACAAUGGGCGGAAGCCUGAUGCAGCAACGCCGCGUGCGGGAUGACGGCCUUCGGGUUGUAAACCGCUUUCGCCUGUGACGAAGCGUGAGUGACGGUAAUGGGUAAAGAAGCACCGGCUAACUACGUG
rnacentral:rRNA from 1 species